rnacentral:rRNA from 1 species
CAGUAGCCGCGGUAAUACGAAGGGUGCGAGCGUUAAUCGGAAUUACUGGGCGUAAAGCGUGCGUAGGCGGUGAGUUAAGUCUGCUGUGAAAUCCCCGGGCUCAACCUGGGAAUGGCAGUGGAUACUGGCUCGCUAGAGUGUGUCAGAGGAUGGUGGAAUUCCCGGUGUAGCGGUGAAAUGCGUAGAGAUCGGGAGGAACAUCAGUGGCGAAGGUGGCCAUCUGGGACAACACUGACGCUGAGGCACGAAAGCGUGGGGAGCAAACAGGAUUAGAUACCCCCGUAGUCCCUGUCUCUUAUAC